CUGCCCAGUGACAUAGUUCAACGGCCGCGGUAUCCUAACCGUGCAAAGGUAGCAUAAUCACUUGCCUAUUAAUUGUAGGCUAGAAUGAAUGGAUAAACGAAAUAAAAGCUGUCUCUAUUAAUAAUAUAAAAACUAUUCUCUAUACGAAGAAAUAUAGAUAUAAUCGAAGGACAAGAAGACCCUAUAGAGCUUUAUUUUAAAUAUAGAAAAACACUAUAUAAAAAUUAGGUUGGGGCGACCAAGGAAUUAUAUAUCAUCCUAAUUAAUAAGAUAAAUUAAUCUCAUGAAUGACCCUUAAAAGAUCAAAAGAAUAAGCUACCUUAGGGAUAACAGGCUAAUCCUAUUAAAGAGUCCUUAUCAACAAUAGGGUUUGGCACCUCGAUGUUGGCUUAGGGUAUCUAUAUAGCGCAAAAGUUAUAUAAAGAUGGUUUGUUCAACCAAUAAUUCCCU
rnacentral:rRNA from 1 species